AAAAGAUUUGUAUUUUUACUUAAGGAGAAGGAAAAGGAAGGAAAGUAAUUAAUCUUCUCUUCCAUAGAAGACCAGGAAGACUCUGUGAGGAAGACAUAGGUGGAAAUACGGAAAGCAGAAAAGACAACUUGGGGGUGACCGGGAGAUAACAGAAUUACUAAAUCCAUGGCUCAGCAAUGAACUUCCCACUCCCAGCAACUC
rnacentral:lncRNA from 1 species